UACAGAGACUGCAAGCGUUAUUCGGAUUCACUGGGCGUAAAGGGUGCGCAGGCGGCCAAGUGUGUGAGGCGUGAAAGCCUGGGGCUUAACUCCAGAAUUGCACCUCAAACUACAUGGCUAGAGCAUUGGAGAGGGUAGCAGAAUUCAUGGUGUAGCAGUGAAAUGCGUAGAUAUCGUGAGGAAUACCAGAGGCGAAGGCGGCUACCUGGACAAUUGCUGACGCUCAGGCACGAAAGCGUGGGGAGCAAAAGGG
rnacentral:rRNA from 1 species